CCUACGGGAGGCUGCAGUGGGGAAUAUUGCACAAUGGUGGAAACCCUGAUGCAGCGACGCCGCGUGAGUGAAGAAGUAAUUCUUUAUGUAAAGCUCUAUCAGUAGGGAAGAAAAAGACGGUACCUGAGUUAGAAGCUCCGGCUAACAACGUGCCAGCAGCCGCGGUAAUACGGAGGGGGCAAGCGUUAUCCGGAUUUACUGGGUGUAAAGGGGGCGUAGACGGCAGUGCAAGUCUGGAGUGAAAGGCGGGGGCUCAACCCCCGGACUGCUCUGGAAACUGUACGGCUGGAGUGCAGGAGAGGUAAGUGGAAUUCCUGGUGUAGCGGUGAAAUGCGUAGAUAUUAGGAGGAACACCAGUGGCGAAGGCGGCUUACUGGACUGUAACUGACGUUGAGGCUCGAAAGCGUGGGGAGCAAACAGGAUUAGAUACCCGAGUAGUC
rnacentral:rRNA from 1 species